CUUGGCAGCUCUCGGCUCAGCGGCUGGCACUUGCAUAUACCCACAUGCUGAUAGAGCCAAACCACAAGGUGAACUCUUGGCCCCACCAUGCUGACUUUGGUCCUUCCUCUGACCCUUUGGACAUGGCACUGGCACUUGAUCUUCCUGGGCUUUCUACUCUUUCUCCGAGAGUUCUUUCUCCCUUUGCUGCCUCAGACGAAGCACCCCCUCCUUCCUGCUCUGGGGACUCAGAGUAGUGGCGAUGCCUCCUGCUUCCUGCUGCCUUCUCGUUACUGCCUCUGAGCAGGGCUGGCUGGGCAGGUCCCCAGGCCUGGCCCCUAUUCAUUUGGAUGCUCUUGUUACCACCUGCUUAUCUACCCUCCACAAUUGCAGCACUUUGGCUCAGGUUGAUAGUGUUGCUUCUGACCACCUGCUUAAGGCAAAAUACACCUACAGAUCAGAGCAGAUGCGACUAAAAUAGUGCUGUCUCCCAGCUGGCACUGUAACUGAGGAGUUCGUCUCAGUGGCAGCGUUGCCUUCAUCCACACCUGGCCUACACAUGAGAGCGACUGCAGAGCUUUACAAGGAGCUGAGCCAUCCUGCUACCUGUUGGCAGCUCAGCGGCUGC